rnacentral:rRNA from 1 species
CAGCCGCCGCGGGAAUACGUAGGGUGCGAGCGUUAAUCGGAAUUACUGGGCGUAAAGCGUGCGCAGGCGGUUGUGUAAGGCAGGUGUGAAAUCCCCGGGCUUAACCUGGGAACUGCGCUUGUGACUGCACAGCUAGAGUAUGGCAGAGGGGGGUGGAAUUCCACGUGUAGCAGUGAAAUGCGUAGAGAUGUGGAGGAACACCGAUGGCGAAGGCAGCCCCCUGGGCCAAUACUGACGCUCAUGCACGAAAGCGUGGGGAGCAAACAGGAUUAGAGACCCGUGUAGUCCCUGUCUCUUAUAA